AGUGGCAUUGCUGGGUCAAAUGAUAAAAGUCACAGUUUUUGAGGAACUGCAAAACUGCUUUCCAGAGUGGCUGUACCAUUUUACAUUUCCACCAGCAAU
rnacentral:pre_miRNA from 1 species